rnacentral:sRNA from 1 species
CAUAGAAAUAAACAAGGCAAGACCCUUAAUCUCCCAAGUAGCUUCCAUCUUGUGGGGGAAAACAUACAGGUAAGUAACUAAACUACAAUAUGAGGCAGAAAAAAUUAAAUGAUACUUAAUUUUUAAUGAUCACGUCCUUGCUCUGGGUUGACUGCUUUCCUCCACCCUGCAUUCAAUCCCAUUUCCUGAUCUCUAAAGAGGUAGGAGUUAUGAGGAGGGAAUCCCUGACAGUUCCUCCCCAAUUACCCUACCCUUACCCCCAGGUGAGCCAGCUAUGGCUGGCAGUGGUUGUGGUGCCCCUUGCUGUCUCAGUCGCCUGCCUGAACUCUGAUUGUCACAUGGCCACAGCGCUGCCUCUUGGGCCUGGAGCCUCAGGUCUCCUCACUGGGACUGUCACUCUGGAGCUUCGCAGAGCACCCCGCCUCUGGAAGGUGCGGGCCAUGAUGAUAUUCAACACCUUCAACUUGAUCUUGGGUUUCAUCGUGGUGGUGGUCGAGGUGAUGAAGACAGCCUUGGGGCCUGCCCCAACUGCCUCCUCCCAGCAUGCCGGCUUGCUGGUGCUGGAACUCAGUGCUGAGGCCUUCACCCUAGGGGGAGUGCU